rnacentral:lncRNA from 1 species
UUACACAAACCAGAAGACAUUGGUGCUGCUCUGUCAGAUUGGGGGCUGAAUAUUUAUCCCCACUUUCCAGAGGGCAACAUGCAAAUCUAACAGUCAGGUCCCAGGGAUCUAGUAUUUGGAACAGAAUUGCCAGAUCACAAAGCAUAAGAGCCACUUUAUUUCAAGAAUUGCGCUGAUCUGAAUGGGCCGAAAGACCCCAAAAGCACCAGAUUCCAUCUGAUCUUGGAAACUAAGCAGAGACAGCCCUGGUUAGUACUUGGAUGGGAUAUCACCAACAAAUCCAAGUCUGGUAGGCUAUAUUUCAGAGGAAGGAACUGGCCAAAAAGACUUCUGAGUAUUCCUUGCCUAAGAAAAUCCUAUAAAAUGUAUAAGAUUGCCAUAAAUCAACAGUCAACUUGAAAGCAUGUACAUAUGUACAGAAAUUGGCUAAGAACGUGUCCUGGCCAUCCCUUCCUAAAUAUUAACAACACCAGAUCCUAGACCUCUUUUGAAGUCCUUUUCUGAUCCAGGGCCAAGGGGAAAGCUUUCUCUAGAAAGUUAUGUUUUUGCCAUUUGAUUUGAAUUCUAAAGGUAGUACUAAACCCAUUGAAUCAAUGGAAUCUACAAUGGUUUGAUCAGAGUAUUCUAUGUCCCAUUAGAAGCAGGGAUGAUUAAACUGAAACUGCCACUUUGGACAUAUCACAAGACAAAGUUGCUAAUUAAAAAAAUUAUAAUGGCUGGUAAAACAAAAGGCCAUAGAUAAAAAAAGAAGACUGCACUAUACGUGGAUUUACUUAAGCUAGUAAGCCAUAGCUCUGAGUUUGCAAGAUCUGAGCAGGGAAGUUGGUUACAGAAUAUCUUGGAGGUCUCUCAUCCAUAGAAACACCACAUGUUGAAACUGGCUUAAUGGAUAAUAACAACAGUAAAAGAUUAUGAUGGAUGGAUGGAUAGAUUCCUACAUUGUAGACUGUAUUCUAUUUCAAGUUGACCCUAGAAAAUACUAUUUGGUUGGACUAUAGUUCCAUUCUUUCCUUUAAAACAGUGUGCUUGGAAUGAUGUCUAAAGAGAGGCUGGGAUAAAUUUGUCUACGCAAGCUUUUUGUACUUGAUGCAAAGUUUGGGUAACUGAAUUUCCAAGCAGAUAAAUCAUUUCUAAUUUGCCCUAGUUUGCGGGGUUUCUUAUCUCCAUGAUAUUGUCUCAACAACUGUGGCUGAUGCUUUGUCCAUAACUCUUAAUGGCAUUAUCAGGGCCAGUCAGAAGAAUCCAAACUCAUUUGGUUUUGAAAUCUAGCCCUUGGUCAUCCAUGGCACGGCAAACCUAAAAAUCAUCCUUUACCUGAUUUAACAAUAAUCAUAUAUAAUGCAUGUCUAUUAUAAAACAUAAGACAGACUUCCACAAACUAGGACCUUUCAAAUAUGUUGGACCAGGAUACUGCUCAAACCUCAUUGGCAAGGCAUGAUGAAAAUUGUAGUUUACCAUGUCAAGAAGCCCAGUGGCUCAGGAAAAGCCCAGUUUGAGAAUGAGCUUAACAGACUUCUGUAGGAGGGAACUUCCAGAAAGACAAU